rnacentral:misc_RNA from 1 species
AAUUCUCAACCUUACUUGCUUUGUUAUAAGCUAGUCUGGCUUGGAUGUGUGGGAGUUGCUGGUUAUUCAUCGAAUCAGCUCUUCUUAAUGGCAUUAGCAAUUUUUUCCGCUCAACUCCUUGAUAUGAUAACUAUCAAUAUCAUCGAGAUUCUGCAUAUAAUUUUGCUUCUAAUAGUCUAUUAUAAGACAAUCGUUUGACAAAU